CCCGAGGGAAGGAGGGACUCUGAAAUGAUUCCAUGCAUUUGCUUCAGCAGGAUGGCACAGACUCAGCACUCCUGAGUCGCGUGGACUGACACUGAUCCCUGCCGAGCCAGGAACAUCUGCUCUAGGGAGGCCGUUCUGCCAGGGCAUGGGAGAAGCCUCACCCCCAGGGUUGUGGGAUGUGCUGUGGGACCGAAAACACACGGGAAGAAAGAAGCUGCCUUCCAGAACACAGGGUUGCUCAGCAAGAAGCUCCUCUUU